AGUCCACAAGUCUUAAAGUGGCCAAGGUUGGAGACCCCUGCUCUAGAUCUCACCGGAAAUCAGCGGCGAAAGCGGGUGGGAGUUGUAGUCCUAGGAUGAGCCGAUGCUCCUAUUGGCUGUCCUGGAGGCUCCCAGGCGUUUGGAUGGGGCGCGGAUGAGCGGAAUCCCUGCUGGGAGCCGCGGGGCACAGGAACAGGGUGUCAGUGCCAGGAUAGGAAGCUGGUGACAGUGAAGUUCCUUUUGUUGUCAUAGUCCCCACUUGAAGUAGCCACAGAGAUCCCGGCAAAAGUCAGCAAAGGAAGAAGAACCUACUUGGCUACACAAUGAGGGAAGGUUGUUCCCCUCUUCCUAAUUCUGUAUCUUCUCAUCCAACCACCUCCUUGGAAGAGCCCAGGCCAUCCACUUCUGCUAUGGCACUAGAGGAACUGGAUAGUCCCAGACGACAUGCUUUCACACUGUGCCACAGGGAAACUACAAAGGAAAGGAGUGGGGACCAGUGAUGCAACAACAGUUCUGGCACCAACAUCACAGUCAAAGGAAGGAAGCACCAGUAUGGAGGCCUUUCGCCUUUCCCUGGAGGAUCUCAGGGUAGCCGUCCUCCAGAACUUGAAAACCAUGAACCAUCGUCUUGAGGCACAGAACAGAAGACUCUCCGCCCUGGAAGAAUGGAGGGCAGAGUCAGAGGCCCAUAGAAAUGGUUUGCCCUAACCCUCCACAUUCUUCAGUCCUCCAUCUUGCCUCAAUUUCCAUUUGUUUUAGGGUUUUGUAUGUAUUUAAAUAAACCUUUUGUGAAAGGAUGAA